AUGACUAUGAUCCCAGGGUUCCUGACUAGAGCUAGAGGAAGCAGCCCCAUUCUGGUUUUCCAAAUGAUGGUGCUGGCAAUGCUGUUAUCAGAAUAUGGUAUACCAGAAAUAAUUUAUGCAUCUGGCAUGAAAUAUGUGGAAGAAGGGGGGACCCUGACUUUGAAUUGCACCAUGAGGCAUUGACAGGAUCAGUCUUCACAGCUGGAGGCCCACUGGUAUAAGAAAGCGAGGAACCAAAAUGAUGAGAUGGGGUUUGGAAAAGAGCUGGAAUGCCUGCAACUAUCGCACAGCUCAGACCCCAGCACCAGCGUUGUGUCAUUUCUGCUCCUCAAAAUCCAGAGCGUCAACCAAUCCGACAGUGGCCGAUACCAGUGCAGGGCCAAAAUAGUGAAUGAUCCCCUAACAACUAUGGGCCACUUUAUUAGAGUGAAUGUAACAGGGUGUGAAACCAAAAAUGAUUGUUGCCACACUGUGACAGAGGAAGAAGUUUCAUACUCCUCUAUCUCUUCAUCUAUGCAUGCUGAGAUGUGACAUGUGAAAAAUGUUGGGGUUUGUUUUAGAUUGGCUGUGGAUCUCUCCAAGCUAAUGGGGAAUAUUUUCUCCUGUGAUUCCAACUCUUAGUGCUGUUGCCAGUACUGAAAGGAACUGGGUGGAAAAAGCCAUAUGGGGGAAUGUGCACUAGUCUCUAUCUCUCAGGCUAGACACAAGUCUACCCUGGUUCACUUAGCAGCUAUUCUUGAUUUUUACCCACAGCUAACUUCACAGGUGGUAAAGUUAUGUUCUCUGAAAUGGAGAUCUGUAUAUUUUCUUAAACGGAGACCUCUGUGUAUGCAAAUAUUCUAUCACCCCUCAAACACCUUGCAAUAUUUGUAGACCUCAGAGAGGACUGGUGCUUAGAGGGAAUAGGGCUCUUGAUGUGGCAGCCAGCAUGGUGAAUUAUUUUGUUUUUAUGGAGGUGAAUUUGUUUUCCUGUUUCAUUACUUAAGUUAGAAAAAUAAUGUGCAGAAAGACUGGAAGGGCUGAAACCCAUAGUGCCCAUGUGCAAUCAUUUCUGCAGAGUUCAUAAAUGGUGAUAUGGUAUGGUGUCCUCUGGUCUUAUCAAAUGACUCCAAUUUCAAAUCUCCAGCAGGAGGGAAUAUCUCUUCAUCUUAACUAGCCAAGGUUCUCCACCAGUGAUGGUGGCGGUGAACUAACACAGCUUCGUGGGUUUGUUCUGGGCUAUUUUGAUCAAGGGCAGCUGGUAGCAACCAACUCAUUUUCCUUCCAAGCUAUUCUCCCAGCUUUGUUAAGAUGUGGGGAUUAUAUUCAACUUCUGCCUCCUUCAAUUUUUGUCCAGCAUAUUUUGUCUAAGAAAAUUAAUUAAAUGCGUUCUCUUUAGUCACCUUUGAGAUAUUAAGGUUUAGGGUAAGGAAAGGUACAGUUCUGCAGACUUUUAUUUGCAUGUUGAUCACUGUCAUAUCAGGUACGAGCAUUGUCAGUACCACAGAGAGGACAGAGGGCGAUUUUCAAUCAAACAAAGCUCUGAGUGUGG
rnacentral:lncRNA from 1 species